AUUAGAUACCCUGGUAGUCCACGCCCUAAACGAUGUCUACUAGUUGUCGGGUCUUAAUUGACUUGGUAACGCAGCUAACGCGUGAAGUAGACCGCCUGGGGAGUACGGUCGCAAGAUUAAAACUCAAAGGAAUUGACGGGGACCCGCACAAGCGGUGGAUGAUGUGGAUUAAUUCGAUGCAACGCGAAAAACCUUACCUACCCUUGACAUGUACAGAAUCCCGAAGAGAUUUGGGAGUGUUCGAAAGAAAACUGUAACACAGGUGCUGCAUGGCUGUCGUCAGCUCGUGUCGUGAGAUGUUGGGUUAAGUCCCGCAACGAGCGCAACCCUUGUCAUUAGUUGCUACGAAAGGGCACUCUAAUGAGACUGCCGGUGACAAACCGGAGGAAGGUGGGGAUGACGUCAAGUCCUCAUGGCCCUUAUGGGUAGGGCUUCACACGUCAUACAAUGGUACAUACAGAGGGCCGCCAACCCGCGAGGGGGAGCUAAUCCCAGAAAGUGUAUCGUAGUCCGGAUUGUAGUCUGCAACUCGACUACAUGAAGUUGGAAUCGCUAGUAAUCGCGGAUCAGCAUGUCGCGGUGAAUACGUUCCCGGGUCUUGUACACACCGCCCGUCACACCAUGGGAGCGGGUUUUACCAGAAGUAGGUA
rnacentral:rRNA from 1 species